rnacentral:rRNA from 1 species
AUUGAACGCUGGCGGCAUGCCUUACACAUGCAAGUCGAACGGCAGCACGGGUGCUUGCACCUGGUGGCGAGUGGCGAACGGGUGAGUAAUACAUCGGAACAUGUCCUGUGUGGGGGAUAGCCCGGCGAAAGCCGGAUUAAUACCGCAUACGAUCUACGGAUGAAAGCGGGGGACCUUCGGGCCUCGCGCUAUAGGGUUGGCCGAUGGCUGAUUAGCUAGUUGGUGGGGUAAAGGCCUACCAAGGCGACGAUCAGUAGCUGGUCUGAGAGGACGACCAGCCACACUGGGACUGAGACACGGCCCAGACUCCUACGGGAGGCAGCAGUGGGGAAUUUUGGACAAUGGGCGAAAGCCUGAUCCAGCAAUGCCGCGUGUGUGAAGAAGGCCUUCGGGUUGUAAAGCACUUUUGUCCGGAAAGAAAUCCUUGGCCCUAAUACGGUCGGGGGAUGACGGUACCGGAAGAAUAAGCACCGGCUAACUACGUG